rnacentral:rRNA from 1 species
UACGUAGGGGGCAAGCGUUGUCCGGAUUUAUUGGGCGUAAAGAGCGUGUAGGCGGCUAUGCAGGUCCGCUGUGAAAACUCGAGGCUCAACCUCGAGACGUCGGUGGAAACCGCAUGGCUAGAGUCCGGAAGAGGAGAGUGGAAUUCCCGGUGUAGAGGUGAAAUUCGUAGAUAUCGGGAGGAACACCAGUGGCGAAGGCGGCGACCUGGGCCAAUAUUGACGCUGAGGUGCGAAAGCGUGGGGAGCAAACAGG